GGCGGACGGAGGGAUGGAUGAGGUUACCUGGAAAAAAUCGGGGCGAUCUAGGCGGGCGAACCUCGCCAACGAACGAUCGGACAUGGGAUAACGGAAGAGGGCGUCGGCUCGACUUCGUCGGUUCCUCGGGCCGAGGCACGUACGGUGAAUAGGGACGGUCGGGGCCGCCCGUACCGGGUCGUGAGAGGUGAAAUUCUAGGAUCGACCCGAGACGAACCGCCGCGAAAGCAUUCGGCAAGGACGCUUUCAUUAAUCAAGAACGAAAGUCGGGGGAUCGAAGACGAUCAGAUACCGUCGUAGUCCCGACCGUAAACGAUGCCGACCGAGGGCCCGGAGGAGUUACGUACGACCCUCCGGGCCCUCCCGCGAGAAAUCAGGAGUAUUCGGGUUCCGGGGGGAGUAUGGUCGCAAGGCCGAAACUUAAAGGAAUUGACGGAAGGG
rnacentral:rRNA from 1 species